rnacentral:lncRNA from 1 species
GAAAGGAGACCCGCAGCUAAUGGCUCGGCAGUGAUGCGCCAGGUGUGGGCCUCGCUCGAAUGGGGAGGAGAGUGUGAAAACAGAGAGACACACACACUGGGAAAGGGAGACACCCAGACACAGAGGAUGCAAAUGGAAUUCCGCACACAGAAAAGGGAGCGCUUAAGGCGCGCAGCGAGUUCCACAGGGGCAACAGGACUUGGUAUUUCUAACAGUCAACGAAUUUUGCCACAAACGGUGGUGUAUUCUAAUGAAAAGGUGCUGGCAAUCCGGCCCCCUGCUCUGGUAGUGCGGAAGGAGCCCAGGUUAUUUACAGAGCAGCGGAAGAAGGAAGGAAAAUUCUAAUAGCGCAUGAAGCAAGGUAACC